GGCGGACGGGUGAGUAACACGUGGAUAACCUACCUAUAAGACUGGGAUAACUUCGGGAAACCGGAGCUAAUACCGGAUAAUAUUUUGAACCGCAUGGUUCAAAAGUGAAAGACGGUCUUGCUGUCACUUAUAGAUGGAUCCGCGCUGCAUUAGCUAGUUGGUAAGGUAACGGCUUACCAAGGCAACGAUGCAUAGCCGACCUGAGAGGGUGAUCGGCCACACUGGAACUGAGACACGGUCCAG
rnacentral:rRNA from 1 species